rnacentral:rRNA from 1 species
CGUCCGGUGGAUGCCUGGGCUUGGGAGCCGAAGAAGGGGGCGGCAAGCGGCCAUAUGCCGUAGGGAGGUGCAAGCAACCGUUGAUCUACGGAUCCCCGAAUGGGAACUCCCGCCUGGGCUAAAACCCAGGCAUCCCGUAAGGGAGGGGAACGCGGGGAAGCGAAGCAUCCCAGUACCCGCAGGAAAAGAAAUCAAAUUGAGAUCCCCUCAGUAGGGGCGACCGAAAGGGGGAUAGCCUAAACUGAAUCCCUUGGGGAAACCUAAGGGAGAUGUGGGGUUAAGGGGUUAGGGCUAUCCCAGGUUAAAGCUUCCGAACUCCGGUGGAAGUCCGGGGCCAUAGAGGGUGACAGCCCCGUAGGAAGCUUUGACCUGGGAUCUCCUAAUUCCCGGAGUACCGGCGGUUGGAUUUCCGUCGGGAAGUUGGGGGUAACCAACCUCCAAGGCUAAAUACUCCCCAAGUCCGAUAGCGUACUAGUAGGGCGACCGGAAGGUGAAAAGAACCUAUGAUAGGGAGUGAAAAGAUCCUGAAACCGGACGGGGAUAGUCUGGUAGGGCGGGUUAGGUCCUGGAGUUGGAAAGCCCCGGCAACGGGUGAGUACAACUCCAGGAUUAUCCCGUCCUACCGUACGUUUGGAAGAACGUGCGGGGGAGUGUACCCGAGUGGCGAGGCUAAGGAGUCUAACUCCGAAGCCGCAGGGAAACCGAGUCCCCGCAGGGUCUCCGAGGGGGCCCGUUUGAAAGAGCGGUUAGUCACUCGGGUACGACCGGAAACCGGGCGAUCUACCCCGGGAUAGGGCGAAGCGGGUUUUAUACCCGUGGAAGCCCGAAGGGAUGGGAUAUAUCCCUCCCAUGAUCUCGGGGUAGGGGUGAAAAGCCAAUCGGGCCCGGUAAUAGCCGGUCCCCGCCGAAAUUGGCCCCAGUCAAGCCUCGGGUUAGGAUUCCAUCGGUGUAGAGCUACGGAUCCUGUGGGGGUUACCUCACAGGGUCCAACUCCGAAGCCGAUGGAUCCGUAGAUCCCGAGAGACGGGGUAUGCGGGAAAGCCGCAUAUCCGAGACGGGAACAACCGAGACCUGAGUUAAGGCCCCAAAGUGCCGGUUAAGUGAUGUCGAAGGGUAUCUGCCUCCUAAGACACCGGGGAUGUAGGCUUAGAAGCAGCCAUCAUCUAAGGAGUGCGUAACAGCUCACCCGGCGAGGAGGCAGGUCCCGCAGACGGACGGGUCUAAACCGGCCGCCGAGACUCAGGUCUACGGACCGUUGGUCCGUAUGAGGUAGGCGGGCGUCCGGGUGGCCUAGAAGGAGCUCCGAAAGGGGCUCUGGAGCCGCUCGGAAUGAGGAUCCCCGCGGUAGUAGGAAUCAGACGGGUGAGAAUCCCGUUGGCCGAAGGGGGAAAGGUUUCCCUGGCAAUGAAGAUCAGCCAGGGGUUAGUCGGUCCUAACCUAUCUCCCGAGAGGGAGAUAGGGAAAGGGAAGGGGGUUAAUAUUCCCCCACCGCCCAGGUAGAUGCGGCAACGCAAGCUCCUUUCCCGACCCGUUGGACUAGGCGGACGCAGGGCUGGAGUAAGUUCCAGUUACCUGCGCGAAGGGGGAUAGGGCCGGGAAGUGCCGUAAUGGCGAGAACCGGCUUAAACCCUGAUCUUCCGCCGAGGUCCAGCGGCUUUGAAAAGGGAAAGGAGAGCGAUCCUGGGCGACCGUACCGCACUCCGUUACAGGUCCCCUGGGUGAAAAGCCUAAGGCCGUGGGGGUAACCUGGCCGAGGGAACUCGGCAAAUUGGCCUCGUAACUUUGGAAGAAGGGGUGCCUGCGGUAGUGGGUCAAUCCUGCUACCGCAGGUCGCAGUUACAAGGGCGGGCCGACUGUUUAUCAAAAACAUAGCUCCCUGAAAGCCCGAAAGGGUUUUUACAGGGGGCGACGCCUGCCCAGUGCCGGUACCUGAACCCCCCGUUCAAGGGGGCUAAGGGCCGGUAAACGGCGGGGGUAACUCUGACCCUCUUAAGGUAGCGUAAUGCCUUGCCGGUUAAAUGCCGGCUUUGCGAACGGCGUAACGAGCCCGCCACUGUCCCCGGCCGGGACCCCCUGAACACGCCAUCCUGGUGAGAAGGCCAGGGACUCCCGAUGGGUAGAAAAGACCCCGUGAAGCUUAACCGCAGCCUGCUGUUGCCUUUAGAGAUCUGGUGUGUAGAGUAGCAGGGAGCGAUGAAUCCUGGCCGCUAGGUCAGGAAGAUGCGAUCCUGAAACACCUGCCUCCAGAUCUCUAGAGGCUAACCCGAAAGGGGACAGCGGUAGGUGGGCGGUUUGGCUGGGGCGGCACCCCGCCGAAAGGAUAUCGGCGGGAUCCAAAAGGUCGGCUCAGGCGGGUCAGAACUCCGCCGUAGAGGACAAGGCCAAAAGCCGGCCUGACUGCGCCCUGAACAUCAAGGGGCGCAGAGGGGAAACCCGGGCCUAGAGAACCCCGUACUCCCAUUGGUGGGGGUACGGGCUGGUGGAAAAGCUACUCCGGGGGUAACAGCGCAGUCGCGGGCGAGAGCCCCCAUCGACCCCGCGGUUCGCGACCUCGACGUCGUCUCCCCCUAUCCUGGUGGUGCAGCUGCCACCAAGGGUGGGGGUGCUCACCCAUUAAAAGGGGUCGUGAGAUGGGUUCAGAACGCCGCGAGGCAGUUCGGUCUCUAACUGUCGGGAGUGCUGGCCGCCUGAGGGGAAGGCCCGCCUAGUACGAAAGGAACGGCGGGUCGCGGCCACUGGUGGACGGGUCCUCCGACGAGGGGGUGCCCGGUAGCUACGCCGUAAGGGGUAAGCCCUGAAAGCAUCUAAGGGCGAACCCCACCCCAAAAAGAGGCGGCCUUUAAGGGCAGGGGUAGAAGACCCCGUUGAUGGGAUGGCGGUGUAAGCUCCGAGGGAUUCCGAGGAGUUCAGCCGACCAUUCCCAAUAGCCCGUGG